UUCAGAAGGACACGGUGCAGAGGAUGAACGAAGGAGGAAGGAGGACAAAUAGGUGAAGAAAUUAAUGUUUAGGUUUAUGAUCCGCAGCCAUGAUACUGAUCUGCAUUGCGUCUCUUCUCGCCUGUUCAGCAGCAGAGUUCUCCAUAGUCGUCCCCAAAGCGCCAGUCUCAGCAUUUUUGGGUUCUUCAGUCAUCCUGCCCUGUAAUCUAUCUCCAUCUAUAAAUGCCAGAACUUUUGAAGUUCGCUGGUACAAGAAUGGUGAGCAUGAAAAGCCGGUUCUGUUCUACAAAGAAAAAAAGAACACUGGACAAAGCCAAGACAGGGACAGAGUGUCUCUGAUUGGGGAGCUGGACAACAGGAAUGUGUCUCUGAAACUGGACCACCUCACAAUGGCUGACAGCGGGGAAUAUACCUGCUUUGUCAAGAGCCUCAGUUGGUAUGAGAAGGGCAGCAUGAACCUGGCUGUAAAAGUACUAGGUUCUACACCCCUCCUCUUAUAUCAUGAAUCUGUGGAAAAAAUGAAUGUUACCUGUAGAUCAUUUGGGUGGUCUCCCAAACCCACACUCACCUGGAGAGACAGUACAGGACGAGAACUCCCCAACACCCACACAAAGUACACAACUGACUCUGAAGGGUUGGUGAAUGUGAGCUCAUGGCUGCUUUUUUCUCCAUCUGACUCCGAGUGGAUCUCCUGUACUGUGGGUUUAAACCUUCAGGAAAUCAAAGAGAGCAGAAUUGUACCAAUGAAAGGAUUCUGGAUGGAAGCGUUCAUCUCGACUCUUGUGCUUUCAUUAAUUGUCAUCAUCACCUACACUGUUCUUCUGAUUUUAUUCAGAAAAGGUUUACUUCCGCACUGUUCGUCUCACAAGAAUGCGAAAGCAGCAGAUAGUUCUCAUGAAUCCUUACCUGCAGAGACAAUGCCUCUUAAUGCUAUCGAGAACACAACACAAGGUCAUUUCUAUAUUUUUUUUCAGUCUACAAAUUACACAUAUAAAACUGCCAUUGCAGGAGGGGUAGAAGUGUAGAGUUUAUUUACUUCUGUUCACACACACAAAAAAAGGAAAAUACUCCAUGUCAAGUGUCUCUUUACAGAUAUCAAGUCUUAGAAAAGCAAAUAUAAAGUGAUUCUCACAUUGGAUCCAUCAUCAGCUUCCAAACGUCUAAAAGUGUCCAAGGAUGGAAAAGGAGUUCAGUGUGUAAAACCAUACAGUGAUUCUGAAGGUACAUUUCCUCAUGUUGUGAGUAAAGAGGAGUUCAGCUCAGGAAAGCACUACUGGGAAGUGAUGGUGUGGGACAAAACACAUUCUGCAAAACUGAAGUCAUCAUGGAGUGUAGGAGUGAUUCAGAAACCCCACUCAGAAAACAUCUACAAAGCUCUGUGUUAUGAACAAGGCACAGGGUUAUUUUCUAAUGAUCAUGAUUUCAAGAAACAAUCCACUAAAUAUUCCACCACAAAAUUAGGAGUGUGUUUAAACUGUGACGGUAAAUCUCUUUCCUUUUUUGAUGGAGAUAAAACCUCCAAUAAUCAUCUCUAUGAUUGUAACAUACCACCUGGCACAUAUUUAGCAUUCUUUAGUCCAGGAGCGAAAGAUCCACAACCUCUCACAAUUGUAAACUAGCAUGAAAACGUAAUUUGUGAUAAAAACCAGAGGAGGGAAGUAAUGAAGUACAAAUACUUCGUUACUGUACUUCAGUAGAUUUUUCUGGUAUCAGUACUUUACUCCACUAUUUAUUUUUCAGACAACUUUUUACUUUUACUCAUUAC